rnacentral:ncRNA from 2 species
AUGAAAAAUGCGUGAGAGCCUCUUAGAUAUUAUCAGAGCACCGAAGGGACAAGUUGAUAAUCUGCAAUUAUUAAUGAAAUUCUCAGGUAAACAGAACGUAUUUGGACA